UACGGGGGGGGCAAGCGUUGUUCGGAAUUACUGGGCGUAAAGGGCUCGUAGGCGGCCAACUAAGUCGGACGUGAAAUCCCCAGGCUCAACCUGGGAACUGCGUCUGAUACUGGAUGGCUUGAAUCCGGGAGAGGGAUGCAGAAUUCCAGGUGUAGCGGUGAAAUGCGUAGAUAUCUGGAGGAAUACCGGUGGCGAAGGCGGCGUUCUGGACUGCAACUGACACUGAAAAACGAAAGCCAGGGGAGCAAACGGG
rnacentral:rRNA from 1 species